rnacentral:rRNA from 1 species
AGUGAACGCUGGCGGUAGGCCUAACACAUGCAAGUCGAACGGCAGCACAGUAAGAGCUUGCUCUUACGGGUGGCGAGUGGCGGACGGGUGAGGAAUACAUCGGAAUCUACUUUUUCGUGGGGGAUAACGUAGGGAAACUUACGCUAAUACCGCAUACGACCUACGGGUGAAAGCAGGGGAUCUUCGGACCUUGCGCGAUUGAAUGAGCCGAUGUCGGAUUAGCUAGUUGGCGGGGUAAAGGCCCACCAAGGCGACGAUCCGUAGCUGGUCUGAGAGGAUGAUCAGCCACACUGGAACUGAGACACGGUCCAGACUCCCACGGGAGGCAGCAGUGGGGAAUAUUGGACAAUGGGCGAAAGCCUGAUCCAGCAAUACCGCGUGUGUGAAGAAGGCCUUCGGGUUGUAAAGCCCUUUUGUUGGGAAAGAAAAGCAGCAGGUUAAUACGGCGCUGUUCUGACGGUACCCAAAGAAUAAGCACCGGCUAACUUCGUG